UGAAGAGGUAGACCGGUGGGCGGUUUCGUCGGGUGUCUACCUCCAGGGGUCGUUCGUGAGCCAGAGAAACCCGGACUUAGGAAGGAAGGGGCCUGGCCACACCCCUUCCGCUCUUGGCUGUGCAGUGCCCUGGUUCCCGGCGCGUUCUCUGUCGUGAGCCAAGCAAGGAAGAACAGCCUGAGCUCUUUGAAGACUCCUUAGUCCAAAGCCUCUGGUGGCCAAUGGUCUGCAUCUUUCCCAUGUGCUCCUGAGGUACAAAAUGGACAUUUCAGCUGCUUUUAAUAGAAACUCACUAUGUCACUCGUAAAACUCAGGAAGCUGUCCCAAAUCCUGGGAGGACAUGAAAAGAGGCUCACUCUGCAGUCGAGUGCAGGGUUAUGUAUGCUAGAGGAAGAAGAAUGCCCUUUCCAGAGCCAGUUCUUGGGGAAAAGAGGAACUGUUGAUAUAGCCAGAGCCUGAAAAGAAGAUAACUCUGCAACAGCUAAAGGAAACCUGGAAGUAGGUGGUUCUUGAGUUGACCCGUGACUUACCAGUGUUGCCAAGGACCCAGCUCUUCCACCUUUCUCUCCACCAUCUUAAUGUACUGGUUUUUACACUCUGACCUUCCCCCUCAUUGUUGGAAGAUGCUGCGGCUCUUCAAGGAAUCACCUCUUCAUACAAUCGCUUACAGAAACCUGAAACUCUGGAUUUUAAGGAAGGAAACUUUUUCCCAGUGCCCUACCCAAGAAACUUCCCCUCAUGUGCCAUUGGCCAGCAUCAUGCCUCACAUCCAUGCCUUAGUUGUGAGGUAGGCUGAGCAUGUGCCUGUCUGCCAUUGUCAACCCCUAUGGUGGGUGGUGAGCUCUGCCCAGCAAGAAGGAAAGGAGAGGUGUUAGCAAUUGUGUAGGCUAACAACAGUGUUUGCCACAAGGGACAAAGAAGAUCCAGGAUAGUAGAGCAUUCUUAGUCCAGCAAAGGACAGUAUUUUUUGAAGAUAUGAAUGUGGUCAACUGGAACAGUGAAGAUAAGAAAAACAGUAAUCAAUAAAAAGAUAACGGGACCAGGCACAGUGGCUCAUGCCUGUAAUCCCAGCACUUUGGGAGGCCAACACAGGAGGAUCGCUUGAGCCCAGGAGUUCAAGACCAGCCUGGACAA